rnacentral:rRNA from 1 species
CUGCCCUAUGAAUAGUUUAAAUGGCCGCAGUAUUUUGACUGUGCAAAGGUAGCAUAAUCACUUGUCUCUUAAUUGGGGGCUGGAAUGAAGGAGGCGACGAAAACUAAACUAUUAGUUUAUAAUAUAAAAUUAACAUAAAGGUUAAAAGGCAUUUAUUAAUCAAAGGGACGAUAAGACCCUAUAAAACUUUACUUUAAAAUAAAAUAUCUUAAUAAAUUUUUAAAAUUUUAUAGUUUAACUGGGGCGGUUGAGAUAAAAACAAUUGUAAUAAAAAUAUAUUAAAUAGAGUUUUAGAACUUCUAAGGAAAAUGAAUAAGUUACUUUAGGGAUAACAGCAUAAUCCUCUCAGAGAGUCCUAAUUGGCGGGAGAGCUUAUGACCUCGAUGUUGAAUUGGGGUGUCUAGUUUAAGUAGAAAUAUACUAAGAUAGUCUGUUCGACUAUUUAACCCCC